rnacentral:rRNA from 1 species
GUGGGGAAUCUUGCGCAAUGGGCGAAAGCCUGACGCAGCCAUGCCGCGUGAAUGAUGAAGGUCUUAGGAUUGUAAAAUUCUUUCACCGGGGACGAUAAUGACGGUACCCGGAGAAGAAGCCCCGGCUAACUUCGUGCCAGCAGCCGCGGUAAUACGAAGGGGGCUAGCGUUGCUCGGAAUUACUGGGCGUAAAGGGCGCGUAGGCGGACAGCUUAGUCAGAGGUGAAAGCCCAGGGCUCAACCUUGGAAUUGCCUUUGAUACUGGCUGUCUUGAGUUUGGGAGAGGUGAGUGGAACUCCGAGUGUAGAGGUGAAAUUCGUAGAUAUUCGGAAGAACACCAGUGGCGAAAGCGACUCACUGGCCCAAUACUGACGCUGAGGCGCGAAAGCGUGGGGAGCAAACAGGAUUAGAAACCCCUGUAGUCC